GACGAACGCUGGCGGCGUGCCUAAUACAUGCAAGUCGAACGCAGUGGGGACGGGUGAGUAACACGUGGGUGACCUCCCAUCAGAGGGGAUAACACUUGGAAACAGGUGCUAAACCGAUACUGAUGUAUGGACCCGCGGUGGAUUAGCUAGGUGGUGGGGUAACGGCUCAGCAAGGCCACGAGGCAUAGCCGACCUGAGAGGGUGACCGGCCACACUGGAACUGAGACACGGCCCAGACUCCUACGGGAGGCAGCAGUAGGGAAUCUUCGGCAAUGGACGAAAGUCUGACCGAGCAACGCCGCGUGAGUGAAGAAGGUUUUCGGAUUGUAAAACUCUGUUGUUAGAGAAGCGGUAUCUAACCAGAAAGCAACGGCUAACUCCGUGCCAGCCGCCGCGGUAAUAC
rnacentral:rRNA from 1 species